GAUGAACGCUGGCGGCGUGCCUAACACAUGCAAGUCGAGCGAUUCUCUUCGGAGAAGAGCGGCGGACGGGUGAGUAACGCGUGGGUAACCUGCCCUGUACACACGGAUAACAUACCGAAAGGUAUGCUAAUACGAGAUAAUAUGCUUUUAUCGCAUGGUAGAAGUAUCAAAGCUCCGGCGGUACAGGAUGGACCCGCGUCUGAUUAGCUAGUUGGUAAGGUAACGGCUUACCAAGGCGACGAUCAGUAGCCGACCUGAGAGGGUGAUCGGCCACAUUGGAACUGAGACACGGUCCAAACUCCUACGGGAGGCAGCAGUGGGGAAUAUUGCACAAUGGGCGAAAGCCUGAUGCAGCAACGCCGCGUGAGUGAUGAAGGCCUUCGGGUCGUAAAGCUCUGUCCUCAAGGAAGAUAAUGACGGUACUUGAGGAGGAAGCCCCGGCUAACUACGUGCCAGCCGCCGCAGUAAGAC
rnacentral:rRNA from 1 species